GACGAACGCUGGCGGCGUGCCUAAUACAUGCAAGUAGAACGCUGAAGGAGGAGCUUGCUUCUCUGGAUGAGUUGCGAACGGGUGAGUAACGCGUAGGUAACCUGCCUGGUAGCGGGGGAUAACUAUUGGAAGCGAUAGCUAAUACCGCAUAAGAGUAGAUGUUGCAUGACAUUUACUUAAAAGGUGCAAUUGCAUCACUACCAGAUGGACCUGCGUUGUAUUAGCUAGUUGGUGAGGUAACGGCUCACCAAGGCAACGAUACAUAGCCGACCUGAGAGGGUGAGCGGCCACACUGGGACUGAGACACGGCCCAGACUCCUACGGGAGGCAGCAGUAGGGAAUCUUCGGCAAUGGACGGAAGUCUGACCGAGCAACGCCGCGUGAGUGAAGAAGGUUGUCGGAUCGUAAAGCUCUGUUGUAAGAGAAGAACGAGUGUGAGAGUGGAAAGUUCACACUGUGACGGUAUCUUACCAGAAAGAGACGGCUAACUACGUG
rnacentral:rRNA from 1 species